rnacentral:rRNA from 2 species
UUAAGCGACUAAGCGUACACGGUGGAUGCCCUGGCAGUCAGAGGCGAUGAAGGACGUGCUAAUCUGCGAAAAGCGUCGGUAAGGUGAUAUGAACCGUUAUAGCCGGCGAUGUCCGAAUGGGGAAACCCAGUGCAAUUCGUUGCACUAUCGUUUGCUGAAUACAUAGUUUAACGAGGCGAACCGGGGGAACUGAAACAUCUAAGUACCCCGAGGAAAAGAAAUCAACCGAGAUUCCCCCAGUAGCGGCGAGCGAACGGGGAGCAGCCCGGAGUCUGAAUCAGCUUGUGUGUUAGUGGAAGCGUCUGGAAAGUCGCAGGGUACAGGGUGAUACUCCCGUACACUAAAACGCACAGGUUGUGAACUCGAAGAGUAGGGCGGGACACGUGGUAUCCUGUCUGAAUAUGGGGGGACCAUCCUCCAAGGCUAAAUACUCCUGACUGACCGAUAGUGAACCAGUACCGUGAGGGAAAGGCGAAAAGAACCCCGGCGAGGGGAGUGAAAAAGAACCUGAAACCGUGUACGUACAAGCAGUAGGAGCCCACUAGUUGGGUGACUGCGUACCUUUUGUAUAAUGGGUCAGCGACUUAUAUUCUGUAGCAAGGUUAACCGUAUAGGGGAGCCGCAGGGAAACCGAGUCUUAACUGGGCGUUAAGUUGCAGGGUAUAGACCCGAAACCCGGUGAUCUAGCCAUGGGCAGGUUGAAGGUUGGGUAACACUAACUGGAGGACCGAACCGACUAAUGUUGAAAAAUUAGCGGAUGACUUGUGGCUGGGGGUGAAAGGCCAAUCAAACCGGGAGAUAGCUGGUUCUCCCCGAAAGCUAUUUAGGUAGCGCCUCGUGAAUUCAUCUUCGGGGGUAGAGCACUGUUUCGGCUAGGGGGUCAUCCCGACUUACCAACCCGAUGCAAACUACGAAUACCGAAGAAUGUUAUCACGGGAGACACACGGCGGGUGCUAACGUCCGUCGUGAAGAGGGAAACAACCCAGACCGCCAGCUAAGGUCCCAAAGUCAUGGUUAAGUGGGAAACGAUGUGGGAAGGCCCAGACAGCCAGGAUGUUGGCUUAGAAGCAGCCAUCAUUUAAAGAAAGCGUAAUAGCUCACUGGUCGAGUCGGCCUGCGCGGAAGAUGUAACGGGGCUAAACCAUGCACCGAAGCUGCGGCAGCGACACUAUGUGUUGUUGGGUAGGGGAGCGUUCUGUAAGCCGUUGAAGGUGGCCUGUGAGGGUUGCUGGAGGUAUCAGAAGUGCGAAUGCUGACAUAAGUAACGAUAAUGCGGGUGAAAAACCCGCACGCCGGAAGACCAAGGGUUCCUGUCCAACGUUAAUCGGGGCAGGGUGAGUCGACCCCUAAGGCGAGGCCGAAAGGCGUAGUCGAUGGGAAACAGGUUAAUAUUCCUGUACUCGGUGUUACUGCGAAGGGGGGACGGAGAAGGCUAUGUUGGCCGGGCGACGGUUGUCCCGGUUUAAGCNGGGUGACUGCGUACCUUUUGUAUAAUGGGUCAGCGACUUAUAUUCUGUAGCAAGGUUAACCGUAUAGGGGAGCCGCAGGGAAACCGAGUCUUAACUGGGCGUUAAGUUGCAGGGUAUAGACCCGAAACCCGGUGAUCUAGCCAUGGGCAGGUUGAAGGUUGGGUAACACUAACUGGAGGACCGAACCGACUAAUGUUGAAAAAUUAGCGGAUGACUUGUGGCUGGGGGUGAAAGGCCAAUCAAACCGGGAGAUAGCUGGUUCUCCCCGAAAGCUAUUUAGGUAGCGCCUCGUGAAUUCAUCUUCGGGGGUAGAGCACUGUUUCGGCUAGGGGGUCAUCCCGACUUACCAACCCGAUGCAAACUACGAAUACCGAAGAAUGUUAUCACGGGAGACACACGGCGGGUGCUAACGUCCGUCGUGAAGAGGGAAACAACCCAGACCGCCAGCUAAGGUCCCAAAGUCAUGGUUAAGUGGGAAACGAUGUGGGAAGGCCCAGACAGCCAGGAUGUUGGCUUAGAAGCAGCCAUCAUUUAAAGAAAGCGUAAUAGCUCACUGGUCGAGUCGGCCUGCGCGGAAGAUGUAACGGGGCUAAACCAUGCACCGAAGCUGCGGCAGCGACACUAUGUGUUGUUGGGUAGGGGAGCGUUCUGUAAGCCGUUGAAGGUGGCCUGUGAGGGUUGCUGGAGGUAUCAGAAGUGCGAAUGCUGACAUAAGUAACGAUAAUGCGGGUGAAAAACCCGCACGCCGGAAGACCAAGGGUUCCUGUCCAACGUUAAUCGGGGCAGGGUGAGUCGACCCCUAAGGCGAGGCCGAAAGGCGUAGUCGAUGGGAAACAGGUUAAUAUUCCUGUACUCGGUGUUACUGCGAAGGGGGGACGGAGAAGGCUAUGUUGGCCGGGCGACGGUUGUCCCGGUUUAAGCAUGUAGGCGGAUGUUCCAGGUAAAUCCGGAACGUUACUAACGCUGAGGUGUGAUGACGAGGCACUACGGUGCUGAAGUGACAAAUGCCCUGCUUCCAGGAAAAGCCUCUAAGCAUCAGGUAACAUCAAAUCGUACCCCAAACCGACACAGGUGGUCAGGUAGAGAAUACCAAGGCGCUUGAGAGAACUCGGGUGAAGGAACUAGGCAAAAUGGUGCCGUAACUUCGGGAGAAGGCACGCUGAUGGUAAGUGAAGCGACUUGCUCGUGGAGCUGAAAUCAGUCGAAGAUACCAGCUGGCUGCAACUGUUUAUUAAAAACACAGCACUGUGCAAACACGAAAGUGGACGUAUACGGUGUGACGCCUGCCCGGUGCCGGAAGGUUAAUUGAUGGGGUUAUCCGUAAGGAGAAGCUCUUGAUCGAAGCCCCGGUAAACGGCGGCCGUAACUAUAACGGUCCUAAGGUAGCGAAAUUCCUUGUCGGGUAAGUUCCGACCUGCACGAAUGGCGUAAUGAUGGCCAGGCUGUCUCCACCCGAGACUCAGUGAAAUUGAACUCGCUGUGAAGAUGCAGUGUACCCGCGGCAAGACGGAAAGACCCCGUGAACCUUUACUAUAGCUUGACACUGAACACUGGUCCUUGAUGUGUAGGAUAGGUGGGAGGCUUUGAAGUGUGGACGCCAGUCUGCAUGGAGCCAUCCUUGAAAUACCACCCUUUAAUGGCUGGUGUUCUAACGUGGGCCCCUAAUCGGGGUUGCGGACAGUGUCUGGUGGGUAGUUUGACUGGGGCGGUCUCCUCCUAAAGAGUAACGGAGGAGCACGAAGGUCAGCUAAUCCUGGUCGGACAUCAGGAGGUUAGUGCAAUGGCAUAAGCUGGCUUGACUGCGAGCGUGACGGCGCGAGCAGGUGCGAAAGCAGGUCAUAGUGAUCCGGUGGUUCUGAAUGGAAGGGCCAUCGCUCAACGGAUAAAAGGUACUCCGGGGAUAACAGGCUGAUACCGCCCAAGAGUUCAUAUCGACGGCGGUGUUUGGCACCUCGAUGUCGGCUCAUCACAUCCUGGGGCUGAAGUAGGUCCCAAGGGUAUGGCUGUUCGCCAUUUAAAGUGGUACGCGAGCUGGGUUUAGAACGUCGUGAGACAGUUCGGUCCCUAUCUGCCGUGGGCGCUGGAGAAUUGAGGGGGGCUGCUCCUAGUACGAGAGGACCGGAGUGGACGCAUCACUGGUGUUCGGGUUGUCAUGCCAAUGGCAUUGCCCGGUAGCUAAAUGCGGAAGAGAUAAGUGCUGAAAGCAUCUAAGCACGAAACUUGCCCCGAGAUGAGUUCUCCCUGACUCCUUGAGAGUCCUGAAGGAACGUUGAAGACGACGACGUUGAUAGGCCGGGUGUGUAAGCGCAGCGAUGCGUUGAGCUAACCGGUACUAAUGAACCGUGAGGCUUAACCUU